UACGAUCCAGUGAGUUCUCGAAUUAUUCAACCGUUGACGAUCUUGGCGAUACGACCACCGAUGGACUCUGUGUAAAUAUGCUGCAUCUAAAGUGAAGUUGCACGGGCGUGCACAACAUGUGUUCGAGUUAAUUAGAAUCAAACUUGAUGGCACGUGCCUUCGUGGGUCAUCUUUGAAGCAUCCUGGAAACACAUUAAAGGGAAAUAUUGAGGUUCAUAAAUCAUGAAAAUUUAUUCAUGAUUGAUGACAAUUUAAUGUCCUUGCUUGAAAGGGAGACGGUAAACUGGGAUGUCAUUUGUAUAAUAUCAUACAAUGUAUUUUAACCCUUUUUUACGCAAAGUACACGCAGACAAUAGGUGAGGGAAUUAUAAAAACUCGAUCGUGCAAGCUGAAACUUGAUGGCUUACGGUGUAUAACUAUUUAAUACACCGAUCGGUCGACCAACGGAUGUUAGCUGGUCUGGUGUACGUACGAAUGUUCAUGCGUCGAUCUUUCGCUCUAAUGCCUCCACCUGGAUAUCCGUGGGUGGUCCCUCAUGCGCUUGAGAAGUUACACCAGGUGUAGAUUGAAUGAAGAAAAGAAGUACGCUUUACUUUCCCAAUGUUCUUCCAUGGCAAUAUCGACUGCGAAGUUUUGCUCACGCCAAGUUCUCAAAUUCUAAGAUUCAUGUUCUUCCUACAUAUUAUUUUUAUAUUUACAAUCAUUAUUAUUUGUUUUCUUUAAAAGUCUAGAAAUUAACAUUCUCUUGUGUGUUUAAGUAUCUGGAUCCACGGAAAUGCCAUUCUUAUCAGAUUAACGCAGCCGAAAAUAGAGAGAGAUUGAUUGGCAGGCAGACUUCGACAAGAGUAGGCAGAAAUAACAGGAACAAUCCUUCGCAGUAAAUUCGAUUGUUCGGAGGCAGGAACGGCCCACGCCGUCCGACCUGCGAGUUCGCCAUGGGUAGAACGCUGCAUGCUUAUCGUUCGAGAAACUGGCGUGGUGCGACGGCAUCGCGCAUGUAUGUACUGGCUCUGUGGUUGCUUCUCUAACAAUACAGUAACGAUAGAAGGCGUCGCUUACGGACAAGUUCGCCUAGCGCGUAGUCACUCAGGUCUUGUUGGCGUGACGUUUCUGACGUUAAUCCUCAAACAGCUACUUUGACGCGUCUGCUCCGAGCAGCUUCCUAUGUUAACGGAAUGCCAACAGUAUUCUCAGGCGCCAGGUGUGAACGAACGAGUUACGUUUAAGGGGGGAGCCUGCUUUAGAACGUUGAA